rnacentral:piRNA from 1 species
UGAGAUACAUGUCACUGUUGGAG